AGUGAACGCUGGCGGCGUGCCUAAUACAUGCAAGUCGAACGGAGUGGCGCACGGGUGAGUAAUGUAUAGCUAAUCUGCCCUACACUAGAGGACAACAGUUGGAAACGGCUGCUAAUACUCUAUAGUGUAGGAUGAGGCUAUAUUGUAUCAGCUAGUAGGUGGGGUAACGGCUCACCUAGGCGACGAUCCCUAGCUGGUCUGAGAGGAUGACCAGGCACACUGGAACUGAGACACGGUCCAGACUCCUACGGGAGGCAGCAGUAGGGAAUAUUGCGCAAUGGGGGAAACCCUGAAGCAGCAACGCCGCGUGGAGGAGGACACUUUUCGGAGCGUAAACUCCUUUUGUUAGGGAAGAAGGGGCAUGUUAAUACCGUGCUCUGAUGACGGUACCUGAAGAAUAAGCACCGGCUAACUACGUGCCAGCAGCCGCGGUAAUUC
rnacentral:rRNA from 1 species